CUCUCGCCUCGGCCUGCUGUCGGGAUCCUCCGUCCGUUGGCGCGGCCGAGGCCGAGGGGCUGGGGCGGGCGGCCGGGAAGUGGGAAAGAGAGCCAGAGGCGCUCCUUUUGUCUUUUCUUCCCAUCCCCCAGCCACUUCAGGACUGAGAGGUGGAUGAUAAACCCUGUCAUAGUAGAGCAAGUUCAGGUGUUUAACACCUGUUACAUGGAAUCUGCCUUUCUCCCUCUUCUUUCUUACUCCCAUAAGUUUAUAUGUACAGAGAUUGAAAAAUAACCUUGAGAGAGUCCAUCCCUCUAACUCCAGGUUCUUUGAACUGACUGCACCAGUGGACUACACCAUAGUUAAGGCAUGGUGACCCCUGUGACCCACACAUACACCUCCAGAUGGCCUCCUGGAGUCAGAAAGUCUAAGGUAACAGAAAAACCAUAAAAGGAGAAGAAUAGCUAGCUCCUGCAGUGCCUAACUGACCUUGUGACAUUCCACCAUUGUUCCUGCCUCAACUGAUACGUCAACCUUGUGACACUGGACCCUGUGGCCUGAUUAACCGACCUUGUGACAUUCUACCAUUGUUCCUGCCUCAACUGAUAAGUCAACCUUGAGACACUGGACCCUGUGGCCUGAUUAACUGACCUUGUGACAUUCUAACAUUGUUCCUGCCUCAACUGAUAAGUCAGCCUUGUGACAUUGGACCCUGUGGCCUGAUUAACCCACUUUGCAACAUUCUACCACUGUUCCUACCUCAACUGAUAGGUCAACCUUGUGACAUUGGACCCUGUGACACACCCCCUCCCCAGCUUGCAAAAAACCACCCUAAACUGUAACUUUCCAUUACUUACCCCCAACCUAUAAAACCAGCUCCAAUCCUACUACCCUCUGCUGACUCUUUUUUUGGACUCAGUCUACUCACACCCAAGUGAAUAAACAGACUUGUUGCUCACACAGAGCCUAUGUUUAAGUGGUCUCCUUAUUCAGCAUGCGCUUAACAAAGUCCAGUUUUUUUUAUUAGUACUCACAUUGCCCAUCCUUG
rnacentral:lncRNA from 1 species